UACGGGGGGGGCAAGCGUUGUUCGGAAUUACUGGGCGUAAAGGGCUCGUAGGCGGCCCUCUCAGUCGGAUGUGAAAUCCCCAGGCUUAACCUGGGAACGGCAUCCGAUACUGGAGGGCUUGAAUUCGGGAGAGGGAUGCAGAAUUCCAGGUGUAGCGGUGAAAUGCGUAGAUAUCUGGAGGAAUACCGGUGGCGAAGGCAGCAUCCUGGACCGAGAUUGACGCUGAGGAGCGAAAGCUAGGGGAGCAAACGGG
rnacentral:rRNA from 1 species